ACAUAUAGAACCUAUUAUGACAUUUCUUCAUUUCCUUCAUGUUGUACUGAAAGUAGCUCCACAACAAGGAUAGUACAUUCCAUGAACAAGUCGACCAAGGCUUGGGCUUUCAUUGCAGGCCGAGGACAAAAGCUGGCGUCAAAUUCUUCAAACUCAAUUGCCCACUUUUUCAUAUGCCCAGAGGUGACCAUCUUUUGAAGAAUCACCCUCAA
rnacentral:lncRNA from 1 species